rnacentral:rRNA from 1 species
GAUGAACGCUGGCGGCGUGCCUAAUACAUGCAAGUCGAGCGAACAGACGAGGAGCUUGCUCCUCUGACGUUAGCGGCGGACGGGUGAGUAACACGUGGAUAACCUACCUAUAAGACUGGGAUAACUUCGGGAAACCGGAGCUAAUACCGGAUAAUAUAUUGAACCGCAUGGUUCAAUAGUGAAAGACGGUUUUGCUGUCACUUAUAGAUGGAUCCGCGCCGCAUUAGCUAGUUGGUAAGGUAACGGCUUACCAAGGCGACGAUGCGUAGCCGACCUGAGAGGGUGAUCGGACACACUGGAACUGAGACACGGUCCAGACUCCUACGGGAGGCAGCAGUAGGGAAUCUUCCGCAAUGGGCGAAAGCCUGACGGAGCAACGCCGCGUGAGUGAUGAAGGUCUUCGGAUCGUAAAACUCUGUUAUUAGGGAAGAACAAAUGCGUAAGUAACUAUGCACGUCUUGACGGUACCUAAUCAGAAAGCCACGGCUAACUACGUG